UGCUCCUAAAUAUCCCUUUGUCAAACCUUCUCGCGUCCGAAGUCCUUCAUCGAACCCAAAACCUCCAUCGCUCCCUCUCCGCGGCUCACUCUUCACCGAACAUCUCCGCCCAACCUCUCUGUAGAGAACCACCCUCCGAGAACCUCUCCACCGAAAUCUUUCCCUGCCCAAACCCUAAACUCCCUCUCUACCGAACUUCUCCGCCCAACCCUCUUCGGCGAACCCCUGUCCGCCCUCUUCGAUGAAUGGGAGGAGACAAGGUACGAUUUCUCUUGAAUGGGAGAAGCAUGGAAAGAAGACACUUUUCCCCCUAAACCCUUCGCUCUACUCCGGCUUCUUGAAUGGAGGAGACGAGGAAUGGUUUCUCUUGAUUUCACAUCACCUAGAAGUAACUGGUGCUCAAUCAGGAUGAGACACCUUUGCUUUAUAGCUUGGUGAAGAAGUUGUAAAUGAUGCUACAUCAGUGGUGCUUUUUAAUGUGAUUCAAAAAUUUGAUCUAGUUCAUGUUGACUUCACUGUAAUGCAAAGUUGUCAAAGCGCUAGGCGAGGCCAAGGCGACAAGUUGGUACCUAGCGCCUGAACGCCUAGGCGACAAAAAGCGAUCGCCUGGCCACGAGGUGAUAAUGCAUAGAAAAUAUAUUAUAUAUUUAUAUUCUUCUAAAAAUCAACUAUUAACAAUAAUAAACUAUAUAAACAUCUAAAACAAUAAAGUUUCAAGCAAAAAUAAAAAUAAAAAUAACUCAAUAUUGUCAAUAAAACAACACAUCUAAAUCUUAUGCUAGACAAUUUUAUUUUUCCAAAACAAACUAGACUCAGAUCAAUCAUUUUCCAAUUCAAUCAUUUCAUCCCCAUCACCAUCCUCCACGUUUUCAUCAAUGUCCGAAUAAUAAUCUUUUAACACGUCAUCAUCAAACUCUCCAUCGUCAAUAGAUUCUUCAUCUUCAUCCGCUAGUGAUUGUAGAGUACGAGUAGUUUGGCUUGUUGCCCUGCCUCUUCGUCCUCCUCUACCUUUGCCUCUAGAAGUUGAAGUUGAAGCUCCCCUAUAAAUAGGGUUUGAGGUCUGUUGUUGCCUAGUAUGUCUUGUCACUUCUUCUACUCCAGUAGCCUCUGCUACAACGUUCCAUGUUAAAGUGUCAUCAUCGUCAUCAAAAAUAGGUUCCUCACCAGCUUCCAUCAUUCCAGUCAACCACUCAUUAUUGCAAUCAUCAAUAUUCCUCAAAACUAUAGGAUCUCCUUUAUCCUUCUUAACCGCACGAGCCUUGAGUGUUUGAUUGUACUUCACGUACACCAAAUCUUGUAGUUUCUUGUGAUCAAGUCUAUUCCUUUUCUUUGAAUGUAUCUGUGCCACAUAUGACGGAACCAUCAUACUUUUAGAGUGAGUAAGCAAACUAUAAAUUGAAAAGAAAAGUGAAAGAAGUCAUGUACUGGCAUUUACUCACAUGCUCAAAUUUGCUCCAAUUCCUUUCACAACCCGAAGCACUACAUGGGAGGCUAAGAACUUUGAUAGCAAAUUCUUUCAAAUUCGGAGUACCAGUGCCAAACAUUUUCCACCAGUUCGCUGAAAAAACAAUGUAUUUCACUAUUUUCAUUUGAUAUUUAAGUUUAACUAUUUAACUUUUUGGAAACAAAAUACAUACCAGGUGUCAUUGGUUGAUGUUUAUUAUUCCUUGCUCUAAUGGCAAAUUCAUUGCCGAACAAUGACUCUGAGUUCUUAUAUACCGACAACUCCUCCAUAAUAAUCUUAUCCCUUAGUUCAGGGCUUGGAAUCAAUCUUUGUAUGCAUGCAAACAAUCCAUUUGUUACUUCUGUAUCCGUCUCAACUUUCGGAUUGUGAUAGUAAAAAUACGGGUUUAAGUAGUAUCCCGCUGCAUGCAAAGGAUGAUGAAGCUGACGAUCCCAUCUACUAUCAAUAAUGUCCAACACAUUUUUACAUUUCUCUCUAUUGUUAUCAAAGGACUUCAGAAUUGUUUCUUUUGCUCUAUCCAUAGCUACAUAAAUAUAACCCAUCGCUGGCCUUGUUUCAUUGUCAGCAAUGCGAAGAACCAUCACUAGAGGACACAUCACUUUAAGUGUGUAUGUCAAAUUAUUCCAAAAAGAAGGCAUGAAAACAGUAUCAUUUGCCCUCUUACCCUUAGCAUCCUUAGCCCACUUACUCUCUAUCCACUGUGUAGAUAAGAACAUUCUCUUCAAAGCCUUUUGUCGUUUGUGGAGGCUUUGCAAAGUGAGAAAUGUAGUAGCAAAGCGGGUGACUCCAUGUCUUGCCAGCUCCUUAUUUUCAGUACAUUCUCUCAUCAUGUACAAAACACUUCCAUGAUUGUAAAUGAAGCCAACAAGAGCAAUUGCUCUAUAAAUAGUCUUUCGAACCACCUCAAUUUUGCCAAUAUCCUCUAGCAUCAAAUCAAUGCAAUGAGCAGCACAUGAAGUCCAAAACAAAUUCGGUCUUUUUGCCUGUAAAGCUUGCCUACAAAAAAAUAAAAAGUAAAAGAAGGUCGACAUAAACAUAUUCAUUUAUCAGUGAGGAGAAAAUGAAUGAACAUUCACCAAUCAAAUAAAUAUUAAAUAGUAGAGUUCGUUAACUUUACAUACUAGCUAAAACAUAAUUGCUGCCAUUAUCUGAAAUCACUUGUACAACAUUUUUCUCCCCCACACGUUCUACAAAUCUAUCAAGCAACUCAUAUAGUAGGGUUCAGUCUUGACAUGGGAGGAUGCAUCCACAAAUUCCAAGAACAUUGUUCCUUUGGGUGAAUUAACCAAAAAGUUGAUCAAUGUCCUCUGUUUCCUAUUAGUCCAUCCAUCAGACAUAAUUGAGCAACCAUAUUUCUCACAUUCAUCUCUAUUUUCUUUCAACAACUCAUUUGUAUAGACAAUUUCCUUCUGUAAAAGGGGUACCCUCAAUUCAUGAUAACUUGGUUUCAAAUUCGGCCCAUACUGACCUAUGGCUUCAAUCAUUUUCUUGAAGCUAUCUAAAUGGGCAGCAUUGAAAGAAAUUGCAGCUUGAUACAUGAAACGGGCUAUCUUUUGAACUGUUCGAUCUCUAAGCUCUUUGUCACAUGCAUCAUUUAUGCUUGUUUGCCUCAAUUUCCCCCUUUGGUUUUCGUAAUAAAGAGGUCCAUUGGCCCUUUAACACUACCACUCCCAAUCUCCUCUGUCGAAGUCAAACUUCGCUUUUUGCUUUCUUUAGAACUUGGUUGUACUGCCUGUGCAUCUUCUUCAUCUUCAUCGACAUCAAGAAAGCAAAAAUCUUGCUUCAUUCCACCACAAGAUCGCAACGUUUGUUUCUUCUUUUCAUUCAUAUAGUUCAACAGUUCAUCACAGACACUUUGUGGGCAUUCUUUGCAUUUCCUAACAUUUUUUGAAUUUCCAGCAAUAUGUUGUUUGGCUCGAAAAAUUCCUCCAUUGGAAGUGAACCCACAAAACCUACAUGUCACACUAUUAGAAUCUUUCGGGUUUUUUAAAUAACAAUGCUUCUAACCAGGUCUCUCUUAUUAUCAUCGUCUGAUUGUGUGUUUUGAUUUUUUGAUUGUUGUUGAGAAGCCAUACCUAAUUGACAAGAACAACUUAACAAGGGGACCGAUUAGUAUUGACAAGAACAAAACUUAACAAGGGAGUCGAUUAGUAAUAUACUAAUAAUAUAUGAUAGUAAAUAAGUAUUGGACAAUUUGGACAGGAUCAAAGGAACUUAUGUCUUGCAGGCAACCUGCACGAAACAUCAGAGUAUGAGGAAAAGGUCCACGGGUAGAGGAGAAACUAUGGAAAAACGCCGUUGAAGCAGUGAAGCUUCGAAUCAAUUUCAAAGGAAAUAGGGAAGAGGAGACGUACCGUCGUGCAUGUAGAGAAUUUGUAUCGUCUCAUGCCCAUAGAGAAGAGGAAAUUAAUCAUGGGCUGGACUUCUUUGAGCUUUGGGUGAUUAGGUCAUUAAAAAAAAAACCCUCAUACCCUAGUGGAAAGGCGAUGCCUUUCCACUGCUUUGCGCCUCGAGCAAAGGGAGACAAAGGCGCAGCCCGCCUGGCCAUCCUCGACGCCCGAUGGUUCCCUGAGGCGAUGCAGCCUCGCCCAACGCCUGAGGCGCGCCUAGGCGCGCCUCAUGCUCGCCUUUGACAACUUUGCUGUAAUGUUGUAGUUUGUUGCAAACUUCUUUUAUCUAUUUUUAGCAAGCACCUUGCUUGGGGUAGUUGUAAGUUCUGACCCAAUUUACUAUGGAUGUAUUUAUUAUGUUAUAGUUUUUCUGAUAUUUUAACUCUCUUUGCAGGCAAGAUUGCUGAGUGCUUACAUUAUUAAACAGUUGCAUUUUGGAAGAAAGAAGUAGAAGAGUGUUCAUCCGAAUGUUACAACACAAUUAACUUUGUUGAUGAUGCAAUUAGUAUUGUAUUUGCAAGGAAGCUCGAGAUAGAGUGCAUAGAAUGAGCUGAUGAUGCUGCAGUGUGUCGUGGCAUGCAGUUGAUGUGUUAGGAUUUUUAAUAGCUUUGAGUUGUGCAGCAUGUGAUGCGCGUUGUGGAUAAAGUAAUUGCGCGCUGCGAAAAAUCAUAUUUGUUGUAAUGCUAUUUCGUUGGGAGAGGAGCAGAAGCGACAGACCAUUAUAACUA